GACGAACGCUGGCGGCGUGCUUAACACAUGCAAGUCGAACGGAAAGGCCCUGCUUUUGUGGGGUGCUCGAGUGGCGAACGGGUGAGUAACACGUGAGUAACCUGCCCUUGACUUUGGGAUAACUUCAGGAAACUGGGGCUAAUACCGGAUAGGAGCUCCCGCUGCAUGGUGGGCGUUGGAAAGUUUCGGCGGUUGGGGAUGGACUCGCGGCUUAUCAGCUAGUUGGUGGGGUAGUGGCUUACCAAGGCUUUGACGGGUAGCCGGCCUGAGAGGGUGACCGGCCACAUUGGGACUGCGAUACGGCGCAGAGUCCUACGGGGGGCAGCAGUGGGGAGUAUUGCACAAUGGGCGGAAGCCUGAGACGGCAGCGCCGCGUGCGGGAUGACGGCCUGCGGGUUGUAAACCGCUUUCGCCUGUGACGAAGCGUGAGUGACGGUAAUGGGUAAAGAAGCACCGGCUAACUACGUG
rnacentral:rRNA from 1 species